rnacentral:rRNA from 1 species
UGCAAGUCGAGCGGAAACGAGUUAUCUGAACCUUCGGGGGACGAUAACGGCGUCGAGCGGCGGACGGGUGAGUAAUGCCUAGGAAAUUGCCCUGAUGUGGGGGAUAACCAUUGGAAACGAUGGCUAAUACCGCAUGAUGCCUACGGGCCAAAGAGGGGGACCUUCGGGCCUCUCGCGUCAGGAUAUGCCUAGGUGGGAUUAGCUAGUUGGUGAGGUAAGGGCUCACCAAGGCGACGAUCCCUAGCUGGUCUGAGAGGAUGAUCAGCCACACUGGAACUGAGACACGGUCCAGACUCCUACGGGAGGCAGCAGUGGGGAAUAUUGCACAAUGGGCGCAAGCCUGAUGCAGCCAUGCCGCGUGUGUGAAGAAGGCCUUCGGGUUGUAAAGCACUUUCAGUCGUGAGGAAGGUAGUGUAGUUAAUAGCUGCAUUAUUUGACGUUAGCGACAGAAGAAGCACCGGCUAACUCCGUGCCAGCAGCCGCGGUAAUACGGAGGGUGCGAGCGUUAAUCGGAAUUACUGGGCGUAAAGCGCAUGCAGGUGGUUUGUUAAGUCAGAUGUGAAAGCCCGGGGCUCAACCUCGGAAUUGCAUUUGAAACUGGCAGACUAGAGUACUGUAGAGGGGGGUAGAAUUUCAGGUGUAGCGGUGAAAUGCGUAGAGAUCUGAAGGAAUACCGGUGGCGAAGGCGGCCCCCUGGACAGAUACUGACACUCAGAUGCGAAAGCGUGGGGAGCAAACAGGAUUAGAUACCCUGGUAGUCCACGCCGUAAACGAUGUCUACUUGGAGGUUGUGGCCUUGAGCCGUGGCUUUCGGAGCUAACGCGUUAAGUAGACCGCCUGGGGAGUACGGUCGCAAGAUUAAAACUCAAAUGAA